rnacentral:rRNA from 1 species
GAUGAACGCUGGCGGCGUGCCUAACACAUGCAAGUCGAACGGAGAUUACGGACGGAAGUUUUCGGAUGGAAUACUGUAAUUCUUAGUGGCGGACGGGUGAGUAACGCGUGGGCAACCUGCCCUAUACAGGGGGAUAGCAGCUGGAAACGGCUGGUAAGACCGCAUAAGUCGGCGAGACCGCAUGGUUUUGCCGGGAAAUGAGCAAUCAGGUAUAGGAUGGGCCCGCGUCCGAUUAGCCAGUUGGCAGGGUAAAAGCCUACCAAAGCAACGAUCGGUAGCCGGACUGAGAGGUCGGACGGCCACAUUGGGACUGAGACACGGCCCAAACUCCUACGGGAGGCAGCAGUGGGGGAUAUUGCACAAUGGAGGAAACUCUGAUGCAGCGACGCCGCGUGAGUGAAGAAGUAUUUCGGUAUGUAAAGCUCUAUCAGCAGGGAAGAUGAGGACGGUACCUGACUAAGAAGCCCCGGCGAACUACGU